GAUGUAUUGCAAAAUAGCCAACAUACAACAAUAUGGAUGACCCUAUAUCUGGUCAACAGGAGUUUAAAUAUGGACGGGACAGUGAUGUGGCAGCUCUUCCCUGGCUCAUUCACCUCUUGCCUUUCAUUUGUGAAAGGAAGAAAGACUGGAGAGGGUCAAUGUGCAACUGAAGCUACUGAUUGUGCUAUGUGAUUAGCAUCAAUCCAUGCUUUGAGGGGAAUGAAUCAGCACAGCCCUGCCUGCACUGCGUUGGGAACAGAAGUUGCAUCCAGAAUUUUUGCAUCAUUCUGGACCAAAAAGCCAUUCCCUCCAUGAUGAAGACCACUGAUGCAGCCUUCCACUACAUCAUGAGUAAAACAACUACAGAACUAAAUACCAGGUUGGAACGUAUUUAAGAAAAAUGAAACGUCUUUUGAAUUGAAAUGUCUGUUUUGUUAUGGAUAAAUCUUUAGUAUUGUGAAGGAUAAGCAUUUCUGCCUGCCAGUAAGGUAAUUGCAGUGUAUUUUAAUGUUCAAGUUUUGAGUAGGGUGGCUAAUUUUUUUAAAACUCUCAUUUGAUUUAUUAAAGACCUUAUAAUAAGUGGUUUUCAUGUCACUGCGCUGUGGUAUAAGAUAACUUUCAUUAUUCCAUACUGUAUUCUGUUUCUAAUUGUAGCUGAGGUAUUUAAAUAAGCAGUAUUAAAUGCAAAGUGUUGUGUGUAUCAAUGUAAAUAUUAAAUGUGAUGUACUUUAAUAAAAAGAGGUUUUGCAAUA